AGAGUUUGAUCAUGGCUCAGAUUGAACGCUGGCGGCAUGCCUUACACAUGCAAGUCGAACGGCAGCACGGGUGCUUGCACCUGGUGGCGAGUGGCGAACGGGUGAGUAAUACAUCGGAACAUGUCCUGUAGUGGGGGAUAGCCCGGCGAAAGCCGGAUUAAUACCGCAUACGAUCUACGGAUGAAAGCGGGGGACCUUCGGGCCUCGCGCUAUAGGGUUGGCCGAUGGCUGAUUAGCUAGUUGGUGGGGUAAAGGCCUACCAAGGCGACGAUCAGUAGCUGGUCUGAGAGGACGACCAGCCACACUGGGACUGAGACACGGCCCAGACUCCUACGGGAGGCAGCAGUGGGGAAUUUUGGACAAUGGGCGAAAGCCUGAUCCAGCAAUGCCGCGUGUGUGAAGAAGGCCUUCGGGUUGUAAAGCACUUUUGUCCGGAAAGAAAUCCUUGGCUCUAAUACAGUCGGGGGAUGACGGUACCGGAAGAAUAAGCACCGGCUAACUACGUGCCAGCAGCCGCGGUAAUACGUAGGGUGCGAGCGUUAAUCGGAAUUACUGGGCGUAAAGCGUGCGCAGGCGGUUUGCUAAGACCGAUGUGAAAUCCCCGGGCUCAACCUGGGAACUGCAUUGGUGACUGGCAGGCUAGAGUAUGGCAGAGGGGGGUAGAAUUCCACGUGUAGCAGUGAAAUGCGUAGAGAUGUGGAGGAAUACCGAUGGCGAAGGCAGCCCCCUGGGCCAAUACUGACGCUCAUGCACGAAAGCGUGGGGAGCAAACAGGAUUAGGUACCCUGGUAGUCCACGCCCUAAACGAUGUCAACUAGUUGUUGGGGAUUCAUUUCCUUAGUAACGUAGCUAACGCGUGAAGUUGACCGCCUGGGGAGUACGGUCGCAAGAUUAAAACUCAAAGGAAUUGACGGGGACCCGCACAAGCGGUGGAUGAUGUGGAUUAAUUCGAUGCAACGCGAAAAACCUUACCUACCCUUGACAUGGUCGGAAUCCCGCUGAGAGGUGGGAGUGCUCGAAAGAGAACCGGCGCACAGGUGCUGCAUGGCUGUCGUCAGCUCGUGUCGUGAGAUGUUGGGUUAAGUCCCGCAACGAGCGCAACCCUUGUCCUUAGUUGCUACGCAAGAGCACUCUAAGGAGACUGCCGGUGACAAACCGGAGGAAGGUGGGGAUGACGUCAAGUCCUCAUGGCCCUUAUGGGUAGGGCUUCACACGUCAUACAAUGGUCGGAACAGAGGGUUGCCAACCCGCGAGGGGGAGCUAAUCCCAGAAAAUGCAUCGUAGUCCGGAUCGUAGUCUGCAACUCGACUACGUGAAGCUGGAAUCGCUAGUAAUCGCGGAUCAGCAUGCCGCGGUGAAU
rnacentral:rRNA from 1 species